GCACUUGGGGGAUGCAAAGUUUUUAAUAUAAAUUAAAAACGAAUACUAUCAAGUGUAAAGUUCUAGAUAAAAUACAGAAUAAGACUAUUUUUUAUCUAUGUGUCUUGACCAAAUCACGUGCCAGCAGUCGCGGUAAUACGUGGAAGACUAGUGUUAUUCAUCUUGACUAGGUUUAAAGGGUACCUAGACAGCAAAUUUAGCCUACAAAAGGUACAGAUUUGCUAGAGUUUUAUGUGAGAAGGUAGAAUCUUUGGAUUAGAGAUACAAUUCGUUUAAACCAAAGAGACUUAUUACGGCGAAGGCAACUUUCUAUGUAAAAACUGACGUUGAGGAACGAAGGCUUGGGUAGCGAUAAGGAUUAGAUACCCCAGUAGUCCAAGCAGAAAAUUAUGAGUGUCAUAGACUAGAUAUUUUAGUCUAUAAAUGAAAGUGUAAGCACUCCACCUUAAGAGUAAUGUGGCAACGCAGAAACUGAAAUCAUUAGACCGUCUCUGAAACCAGUAAUGAAGUAUGUUAUUUAAUUCGAUAAUCCGCGAAAAACCUUACCACAAUUUGUAUAUUAUUAAAUUAAUACAGGUGCUGCACGGCUGUUUUUAGUUAAUGUCGUGAGACUAUGGUUAGUUCCAUUAAUUAACGUAAACCCUUAUUUUAUUUUUAUAUAAAAUAGCUCUGCCUGUAUAUUGGUAUGUUAACAGGGUAUCAAGACAAGUCAUCAUGGCCUUAAUAUUGUGG
rnacentral:rRNA from 1 species